AUUUGCCAAACCCUGCCGCAUGACAGAUUUUUUAAUGGGCAGUUAGAACUAAAUAAUUUAAUUAACGAAUUAAUCGGAAAAGUGCGACGCCCCAACGACCUCAACGAAAAACGCCUCAAUUUCAUGUGUGGUGCUACUAAAGAAAAUGAGGCGAAAAAAUAAAAGACUCAAUUUGACGCUGUUGCUGUGAUGAUUGUAAUAUUGAAGAUUUAUUUGAAUGUGAUGUUUGUAAUAUUGAAGAUUGAGUUGAGAAGAUUAUAUUUAGUAUGUUGAA